GAUGAACGCUGGCGGCGUGCCUAAUACAUGCAAGUCGAGCGAACAGACGAGGAGCUUGCUCCUUUGACGUUAGCGGCGGACGGGUGAGUAACACGUGGGUAACCUACCUAUAAGACUGGGAUAACUUCGGGAAACCGGAGCUAAUACCGGAUAAUAUUUCGAACCGCAUGGUUCGAUAGUGAAAGAUGGCUCUGCUAUCACUUAUAGAUGGACCUGCGCCGUAUUAGCUAGUUGGUAAGGUAACGGCUUACCAAGGCAACGAUACGUAGCCGACCUGAGAGGGUGAUCGACCACACUGGAACUGAGACACGGUCCAGACUCCUACGGGAGGCAGCAGUAGGGAAUCUUCCGCAAUGGGCGAAAGCCUGACGGAGCAACGCCGCGUGAGUGAUGAAGGUCUUCGGAUCGUAAAACUCUGUUAUUAGGGAAGAACAAACGUGUAAGUAACUGUGCACGUCUUGACGGUACCUAAUCAGAAAGCCACGGCUAACUACGUG
rnacentral:rRNA from 1 species